GAUGAACGCUAGCGGCAGGCUUAACACAUGCAAGUCGAGGGGUAACAGGGAGUGCUUGCACUCUGCUGACGACCGGCGCACGGGUGCGUAACGCGUAUGCAACCUACCUUCUACAGGGGGAUAGUCCAGAGAAAUUUGGCAUAAUACCCCAUACGAUCAUUUAUUGGCAUCGAUAGAUGAGGAAAACUCCGGUGGUAGAAGAUGGGCAUGCGUCCUAUUAGUUAGUUGGUAAGGUAACGGCUUACCAAGACAUCGAUAGGUAGGGGUCCUGAGAGGGAGAUCCCCCACACUGGUACUGAGACACGGACCAGACUCCUACGGGAGGCAGCAGUGAGGAAUAUUGGACAAUGGAGGCAACUCUGAUCCAGCCAUGCCGCGUGCAGGAAGACGGCCCUACGGGUUGUAAACUGCUUUUAUACAGGAAGAAACGCCGCUACGUGUAGCGGUUUGACGGUACUGUACGAAUAAGGAUCGGCUAACUCCG
rnacentral:rRNA from 1 species